rnacentral:ncRNA from 1 species
CAGCCGAGUGGGAGCCAAGACCCCCGGUCGAACAUCCGGUCACCCUCGCGAUCGGGGCGAGCAACGGUGAGACCGGCCCCUCAACGA